CCUAAUACAUGCAGUAGAACGCUGAAGAGAGGAGCUUGCUCUUCUUGGAUGAGUUGCGAACGGGUGAGUAACGCGUAGGUAACCUGCCUUGUAGCGGGGGAUAACUAUUGGAAACGAUAGCUAAUACCGCAUAACAAUGGAUGACACAUGUCAUUUAUUUGAAAGGGGCAAUUGCUCCACUACAAGAUGGACCUGCGUUGUAUUAGCUAGUAGGUGAGGUAAUGGCUCACCUAGGCGACGAUACAUAGCCGACCUGAGAGGGUGAUCGGCCACACUGGGACUGAGACACGGCCCAGACUCCUACGGGAGGCAGCAGUAGGGAAUCUUCGGCAAUGGGGGCAACCCUGACCGAGCAACGCCGCGUGAGUGAAGAAGGUUUUCGGAUCGUAAAGCUCUGUUGUAAGUCAAGAACGGGUGUGAGAGUGGAAAGUUCACACUGUGACGGUAGCUUACCAGAAAGGGACGGCUAACUACGUGCCAGCAGCCGCGGUAAUACGUAGGUCCCGAGCGUUGUCCGGAUUUAUUGGGCGUAAAGCGAGCGCAGGCGGUUUGAUAAGUCUGAAGUUAAAGGCUGUGGCUCAACCAUAGUUCGCUUUGGAAACUGUCAAACUUGAGUGCAGAAGGGGAGAGUGGAAUUCCAUGUGUAGCGGUGAAAUGCGUAGAUAUAUGGAGGAACACCGGUGGCGAAAGCGGCUCUCUGGUCUGUAACUGACGCUGAGGCUCGAAAGCGUGGGGAGCGAACAGGAUUAGAUACCCUGGUAGUCCACGCCGUAAACGAUGAGUGCUAGGUGUUGGAUCCUUUCCGGGAUUCAGUGCCGCAGCUAACGCAUUAAGCACUCCGCCUGGGGAGUACGACCGCAAGGUUGAAACUCAAAGGAAUUGACGGGGGCCCGCACAAGCGGUGGAGCAUGUGGUUUAAUUCGAAGCAACGCGAAGAACCUUACCAGGUCUUGACAUCCCGAUGCUAUUUCUAGAGAUAGAAAGUUACUUCGGUACAUCGGUGACAGGUGGUGCAUGGUUGUCGUCAGCUCGUGUCGUGAGAUGUUGGGUUAAGUCCCGCAACGAGCGCAACCCCUAUUGUUAGUUGCCAUCAUUCAGUUGGGCACUCUAGCGAGACUGCCGGUAAUAAACCGGAGGAAGGUGGGGAUGACGUCAAAUCAUCAUGCCCCUUAUGACCUGGGCUACACACGUGCUACAAUGGUUGGUACAACGAGUUGCGAGUCGGUGACGGCGAGCUAAUCUCUUAAAGCCAAUCUCAGUUCGGAUUGUAGGCUGCAACUCGCCUACAUGAAGUCGGAAUCGCUAGUAAUCGCGGAUCAGCACGCCGCGGUGAAUACGUUCCCGGGCCUUGUACACACCGCCCGUCACACCACGAGAGUUUGUAACACCCGAAGUCGGUGAGGUAACCUUUUGGAGCCAGCCGCGUAAGGUGGACAGAAGG
rnacentral:rRNA from 1 species